AAUGAACGCUGGCGGCGUGCUUAACACAUGCAAGUCGUACGAGAACUCUUCUGCUUGCAGAAGAUAGUAAAGUGGCGCACGGGUGAGUAACGCGUGGGUAAUCUACCUCUGAAUCGGGGAUAACCCGCCGAAAGGCGAGCUAAUACCGGAUAAUAUCUUUAAAACUUCGGUUUUUAAGAUCAAAGGUGGUCUCUACAUGUAAGCUACUGUUUGGAGAUGAGCCCGCGUACCAUUAGCUUGUUGGUAGGGUAAUGGCCUACCAAGGCCGCGAUGGUUAGCUGGUCUGAGAGGAUGAUCAGCCACACUGGAACUGACACACGGUCCAGACUCCUACGGGAGGCAGCAGUGAGGAAUUUUGCGCAAUGGGGGAAACCCUGACGCAGCAACGCCGCGUGAGUGAUGAAGGCUUUCGGGUCGUAAAGCUCUGUCAAGUGGGAAGAAAAUGCUCGAUGAUAAUACCAUCUGGCACUGACGGUACCACUAAAGGAAGCACCGGCUAACUCCGUGCCAGCAGCCGCGGUAAUACGGGGGGUGCAAGCGUUAUUCGGAAUUAUUGGGCGUAAAGGGCGCGUAGGCGGUCUCUGAAGUCAGAUGUGAAAGC
rnacentral:rRNA from 1 species